rnacentral:rRNA from 1 species
CCCGGUGAAUAAACUUAAACGGCCGCAGUUAAAAGCUGUGCUAAGGUAGCGUAAUCAGUUGUCCUUUAAAUGGGGAAAGGAAUGAAUGGUUUGACGUAAGAAGUUCUGUCUCUUAAAAAAUAAAAAAAGUUUUCUUCUUAGUGAAAAGCCUAAGAUUUUUGUAAAAGACGAGAAGACCCUGUCGAGCUUAAAUUACUUUUAAAAGGGUUUUUAAGGAAAUUUUGGUUGGGGCAACCUGGGGACAAAACAAGAUCCCUUAUAAAUUUUGUGGAGCCAAAAUUUUUGAAUUAAGAAAAAGCUACCGCAGGGAUAACAGCGUUAUCUUUUCUGAGAGAACAAAUUGAAGAAAAG